AAGGGCGUUGACCGCGCCCCUGCCUGGGCAGAUCGCCAGCGCCUCCCCGCUCGAUCCCCUGCUCGACCGCUCGCAUGCAGCCUGAGCUCCGGCGAGGUUGAUCUGGACGGCUCGGCAGCGUCACCGGCGGUAGUAACUCUAAUAGGCCACUACACUUUCCAAAUUCCAAUGCUCGCGUGUUGGUCGUUCCCAAGUUUUCACUACCCUGAG